rnacentral:lncRNA from 1 species
GAUGGUAUGCUCUGCCUUCAGAACGGCUCUUUCCACCGUUCUGAAAUGCCCUCCCUCAUAGACACCUCAGGUGUGCUCUGCUGACUCUAAAUCCAGUCAACUUGUCAAAGAUUAACCAUCAGAGGUUGGUUGGUUUUUGUUUUGUGAUCUCUCUCUCUCUCUCUCUCUCUCUCUCUCUCUCACUCUCUCUCUCUCCCAAUGGAGACUGUACCCUCUCAGCUAUUCCAUUAAGCAGCUGGAGUUUCAUUCCACGGGGAAACUGGGCAGGAGUUAAAAAUAGAUGACUCAGAGAAUCCCAAGAAGGCCUAAGGCCACGGUGGUGUUUGAAUAGCAACCCCUGAGAUACAUCAGUAGGUGAGGGCUGUUGGCCAGUUGGAAGCAUGGGACCCGUUUUUGUGUGAGGUUCUGAGGCUGGGACAGAAUAGAGGGCAGAGGGAAACAGUCUUCAGGGCAGGUGGACACUGACCCUGGCAGUAGCCAGGGCACAGAGAAAGGCUAGCCACUUUGAAGUCGGCAACGACCCUCCAGAAUUGUGUAGGUGUCUCACAAAAUGUGUGGCAAUCAGUAUCUGCUCAAGACACCCCAAGAUCAAGUUCUCAACACAAAGGAGGUUUAUUUGCUCCGGAAGGUCAAAGGGUAGGGAAUAAGAGACAAAAACAGGAGAUAGAGGAUGAGGGAGAAGGGGAAGGGAGAAAAGGGGCAGAAAAAAGAGUAUUUAUUUGUCCUGGGAGGGGGCAACAUAAAGGACUGUCUCUGGAUAAAGGAGACAGAUGUAGCCAUAGGUAAAUGACAGUGUAUAAAGGUCAAAGGGGAAACGCCCAUGUUAAGGUGAGGUGUUUAAUUUUGAUUGGGCAGGUUCAUUAAGCGAGCCAAAAGGGGUCUUAGAUGGCUGGACCUCAAUACUUUGAUAGCUGGACCUUGGUAGUCAGCCUCAGGAGGAGAAAGUGGCCAAAUCAGGAAACAGACCUUGGUGGCUUGCUUCUGGAGUGUAACCUAAUGGGUUUUUUUUUAUCAUGGUAGAGGGGAUGGACCCCUGCCAGAGCCUUGUUUGCCAUGCCCGCCCGGGAUGGCUAGAGCUCUUCAAGAUGUAUGUUAGUUGUUGUGAUGCCUUCUCCUUUAUAUUGCUCUGUACUCUGCAUGGAGGCUCACAGUCUUCAGGGUCCAAGUUCAGCUCCUUCCAAGGUUGCAUCAGGCAAUGUUGCUCAUGGAGACAGUAUGUGAAGAGCGCACAGCCUAAGACUUGAUGUUUACUGUAUCUGAAGGCCUCCGCUAUUCUUUUUUUUUUUUUCCAGCUAGUCUAUAAAAUCUUCAAUGGAGUUUCUUUGCCCUCAACCAUUUAAUUAUAAAACAUCAUCUUUAUCAUAUAGAACCAUAUGUGUAGACAAGACCCCUUCCUUCCCUUCUUCCCCGCUCUUCUCUGUUCCUACGUGGCUAUAACUAUUCUUCUGGCUACACAUUUAAUGACCGUGACCCUGUGUCGGAUAAUUUUUACAGUCAUGUUUUGAGCAUGUGUACACAUUAUUCAUGUAUUUUAAGGACAGAGACUAACUACAUAUUGCUUUGUGAAUGUUGUCUGUUAUUAUAUCUCUCUUUUACAUAUUUAAACACCCAUGCCACUGGGGAGGUCAGCUCUGGAACUUUGGAAAAUCCCACCAGACCCCUCCCCUCCUGGAAGAGAAAGGUCAUAGAACACAUAGGUACCCCACCCCUCUGGAAGGCAGAGGGUAAUUACAUUCCUCAGAUCAGGGGUCGGGGGCGACCCUCAGCCACCUGCAGGUGGGGGAGACCCAGAGCUCAUAGACACAUUCUGCGGCUGUUAGCCACCUACAGACAAGGGAAGUCCUUGCCACCUCAUUCCCUAAAGACCAAUCAGUUUUAAAGUCACAUUCUGCCAAUCACGUUGUGCCUAAAUGCUACUGCUCUGAAAACUUUAUAAAAACUCACUGAACAGGUUGCGGGGGAUCAUUGUCUCCUUCAUGUGCAGGGUGACCCCAGCAUGCUGGAACAAUAAAAGUCCUCUUGCUUUUGCA